rnacentral:rRNA from 1 species
UACGUAGGUGGCAAGCGUUAUCCGGAUUUACUGGGUGUAAAGGGCGUGUAGGCGGGAAAGCAAGUCAGAAGUGAAAGCCCGGGGCUCAACUCCGGGACUGCUUUUGAAACUGUGUUGCUAGAUUGCAGGAGAGGUAAGUGGAAUUCCUAGUGUAGCGGUGAAAUGCGUAGAUAUUAGGAGGAACACCAGUGGCGAAGGCGGCUUACUGGACUGUAAAUGACGCUGAGGCUCGAAAGCGUGGGGAGCAAACAGG